rnacentral:rRNA from 1 species
GUCUAUAGCCAUGCCACCCUCAACACGCCCGAUCUCAUCUGAUCUCGGAAGCUAAGCAGGGUCGGGCUUGGUACUUGGAUGGGAGACCACCUAGGAAGACCAGGUGCUGGUCU